rnacentral:lncRNA from 1 species
AAUAGAUAGAUGUCUAUAGCGUUUUCUCACAAACUUUCAGAAACAACACAGUCACAUUCCAGGCAGGUUUCUUCCAGUGUAUCUUGUUUGAUAAACCAGAUUUCCAAUCAUGUCCUUGUGUUGAUAUAUUGAAUAUUUACGAAGGAUGCCUAGGAAGAGCACUCAAAACACACUUCUAAGGUAGUAAAGUUCCAUUACGUAUUUGCUUUCUUCAGCUUUCUCCAGGAAGCUAGUUUGGUUUUCAUCUUUUUCCAUCUUCAUCGAGCACACAGAAUACCUUGAAAGUGUCAGUGCUGGAGCUCUAUGAAUGUGCUUCUCACUCCACCCUUGAAAGUGGUCCCAUAAGGAAGGCUCUUCCUUCAGGAGUCCAAGGAUGCACUAACUUUCUCUUUCAGCAAUUCCAUGCUUCAUACAGCGAGCCGAGCUCUACGCCGCU